rnacentral:rRNA from 1 species
GAUGAACGCUGGCGGCGUGCCUAACACAUGCAAGUCGAGCGGAGAUUUCAAGAAGUACUUGUACGGACGGAAAUCUCAGCGGCGGACGGGUGAGUAACACGUGAGCAAUCUGCCUUCUGCAGGGGAAUAACAUUGUGAAAACAGUGCUAAUACCGCAUAAUAUCCGACCGGGGCAUCCCGGACGGAUCAAAGGAGCAAUCCGGCAGGAGAUGAGCCCGCGUCCGAUUUGCUAGUUGGUGAGGUAACGGGCCACCAAGGCGACGAUCGGUAGCCGAAAUGAGGGGUUGAUCGGCCACAUUGGGACUGAGACACGGCCCAGACUCCUACGGGAGGCAGGAGUGGGGAAUAUUGGGCAAUGGGGGAAACCCUGACCCAGCAACGCCGCGUGAAGGAUGAAGGCUUUCGGGUUGUAAACUUCUUUGAUCAGGGACGAAACAAAUGACGGUACCUGAAAAACAAGCCACGGCUAACUACGUGCCAGCCGCCGCAGUAA